rnacentral:rRNA from 1 species
AGCGAACGGUGGCGGCAGGCUUAACACAUGCAAGUCGAACGGACCCUUCGGGGUUAGUGGCGGACGGGUGAGUAACACGUGGGAACGUGCCUUUAGGUUCGGAACAACACAGGGAAACUUGUGCUAAUACCGGAUGUGCCCUUCGGGGGAAAGAUUUAUCGCCUUUAGAGCGGCCCGCGGUCUGGUUAGCUAGUUGGUGGGGUAAAGGCCUACGAAGGCGACGAUUAGUAGCUGGUCUGAGAGGAUGGCCAGCCACAUUGGGACUGAGACACGGCCCAAACGCCUACGGGAGGCAGCAGUGGGGAAUCUUGCGCAAGGGGCGAAAGCCUGACGCAGCCAUGCCGCGUGAAUGAUGAAGGUCUUAGGAUUGUAAAAUUCUUUCACCGGGGACGAUAAUGACGGUACCCGGAGAAGAAGCCCCGGCUAACUUCGUGCCAGCCGCCGCCGUAA